AUUGAACGCUGGCGGCGUGCCUAACACAUGCAAGUCGAGCGGUAACAGGUGUAGCAAUACAUGCUGACGAGCGGCGAACGGGUGAGUAAUGCUUUGGAAUCUUCCCAGUAGUGGGGAAUAACCAGUCGAAAGAUUGGCUAAUACCGCAUACGUCUGUAAAGGGAAAGCGGGGAUCGCAAGACCUCGCGCUAUUGGAUGAGCCAAAGUCGAUUAGCUAGUUGGNGGGUAAUGGCCUACCAAGGCGACAAUCCGUAGCUGGUCUGAGAGGACGACCAGCCACACCGGAACUGAGACACGGUCC
rnacentral:rRNA from 1 species